rfam:Aspergillus flavus NRRL3357 scf_1106286417496 genomic scaffold, whole genome shotgun sequence.
UUUUAUGAUGAUCACCAUAAGUUAUAAGCAUAGUUCACCUGAGGUCUUCGGACCGUUGAACGACAACCUUAUACCAUCUUUCACCUUUGUCUGAUA